GGUAGUCCACGCCCUAAACGAUGUCAACUAGCUGUUGGGGCCUUCGGGCCUUGGUAGCGCAGCUAACACGUGAAGUUGACCGCCCGGGGAGUACGGUCGCAAGAUUAAAACUCAAAGGAAUUGACGGGGACCCGCACAAGCGGUGGAUGAUGUGGAUUAAUUCGAUGCAACGCGAAAAACCUUACCUACCCUUGACAUGUCUGGAAUCCCAAAGAGAUUAGGGAGUGCUCGCAAGAGAACCGGAACACAGGUGCUGCAUGGCUGUCGUCAGCUCGUGUCGUGAGAUGUUGGGUUGAGUCCCGCAACGAGCGCAACCCUUGUCAUUAGUUGCUACGAAAGGGCACUCUAAUGAGACUGCCGGUGACAAACCGGAGGAAGGUGGGGAUGACGUCAAGUCCUCAUGGCCCUUAUGGGUAGGGCUUCACACGUCAUACAAUGGUCGGGACAGAGGGUCGCCAACCCGCGAGGGGGAGCCAAUCCCAGAAACCCGAUCGUAGUCCGGAUCGUAGUCUGCAACUCGACUACGUGAAGUCGGAAUCGCUAGUAAUCGCGGAUCAGAAUGUCGCGGUGAAUACGUUCCCGGGUCUUGUACACACCGCCCGUCACACCAUGGGAGUGGGUUCCACCAGAAGUAGUUAGCCUAACCGCAAGGAGGGCGAUUACCACGGUGGGGUUCAUGACUGGGGUGAAGUCGUAACAAGGUAGCCGUAUCGGAAGGUGC
rnacentral:rRNA from 1 species